rnacentral:rRNA from 1 species
CAGCCUUUGACAUCCUGGUCGCGGUUAGAGGAGACUCUUUCCUUCAGUUCGGCUGGACCAGUGACAGGUGCUGCAUGGCUGUCGUCAGCUCGUGUCGUGAGAUGUUGGGUUAAGUCCCGCAACGAGCGCAACCCUCAUCCUUAGUUGCCAUCAUUCAGUUGGGCACUUUAAGGAAACUGCCGGUGAUAAGCCGGAGGAAGGUGGGGAUGACGUCAAGUCCUCAUGGCCCUUACAGGCUGGGCUACACACCGUGCUACAAUGGCGAUGACAGUGAGCACCGAUCCCGCGAGGGGUAGCUAAUCUCCAAAAGUCGUCUCAGUUCGGAUUGUUCUCUGCAACUCGAGAGCAUGAAGGCGGGAUCGCUAGUAUCGCGGAUCAGCAUGCCGGGCGAAUACCUUUCCAAGNCUUGNCACACCNCCNCANACCAUGGGGAGUUGGUUUAACCCGAAAGCGNUNNACUUGANCCCAAAGGGGGGCAGGGGAACNCCGNNGGAAUANNGAAAUGGGGGG